GUGCCCGUGGCUGAGUUGGUCACAGCAUCGGACUGUUAUCCCUUCAGUCUCAGUCCGCAAUGAGAAGGCCGAGAAUUCGAACCUCUCUGGGGGCA